rnacentral:rRNA from 1 species
GAUGAACGCUGGCGGCGUGCCUAAUACAUGCAAGUCGAGCGAACGGACGAGAAGCUUGCUUCUCUGAUGUUAGCGGCGGACGGGUGAGUAACACGUGGAUAACCUACCUAUAAGACUGGGAUAACUUCGGGAAACCGGAGCUAAUACCGGAUGAUAUUUUGAACCGCAUGGUUCAAAAGUGAAAGGCGGUCUUGCUGUCACUUAUAGAUGGAUCCGCGCUGCAUUAGCUAGUUGGUAAGGUAACGGCUUACCAAGGCAACGAUGCAUAGCCGACCUGAGAGGGUGAUCGGCCACACUGGAACUGAGACACGGUCCAGACUCCUACGGGAGGCAGCAGUAGGGAAUCUUCCGCAAUGGGCGAAAGCCUGACGGAGCGACGCCGCGUGAGUGAUGAAGGUCUUCGGAUCGUAAAACUCUGUUAUUAGGGAAGAACAUAUGUGUAAGUAACUGUGCACAUCUUGACGGUACCUAAUCAGAAAGCCACGGCUAACUACGUG